GGAUGCGAUUAUACCAGCACUAAAGCACCGGAUCCCAUCAGAACUCUGAAGUUAAGCGUGCUUGGGCGAGAGUAGUACUAGGAUGGGUGACCUCCUGGGAAGUCCUCGUGUUGCAUUCC
rnacentral:rRNA from 16 species